UUGGGAUGCAGAUAUUCUGUUUGUUUUGGAAGUUGAAAAAAUACCUUGUCUAUACGACAUGCGAAUAAAAGAAUAUCGAAAUCAGAACUUCCGGCAAAUGGCAUGGAAAGAAAUCAGUGAAAUUUUAAAUAUCCCAGAAGCCGCCUGUCCUGGCAAGUGGAAGUCCAUGAGAGACAAAUACCUCUGAAUUUAUAAAAAAAGUGGAUCGGGAGCAGACGUUAUAAUAGAAGAUCCCACAUGGAUUGUGAGCAAAUAUCUGAGUUUCCUCAAUCCUUGUUUAAAACCAAAAAGGACUACAGGAAACUUUAGUGAGUUUCUAUCAAGAGAAACUCCUCAGACCUCCCAGUCAGAGCCAUCAAUGCAGGAGGACACCUAUAUGCUAUCAGGCACAGUGCAG